UACGUAGGGGGCAAGCGUUGUCCGGAAUCAUUGGGCGUAAAGAGCGUGUAGGCGGCUUGAUAAGUCGGUUGUGAAAGUCAAGGGCUCAACCCUUGAAUGCCGGCCGAUACUGUCAGGCUAGAGUCCGGAAGAGGCGAGUGGAAUUCCUGGUGUAGCGGUGAAAUGCGCAGAUAUCGGGAGGAACACCAGUAGCGAAGGCGGCUCGCUGGGCCACACCUGACGCUGAGACGCGAAAGCUAGGGGAGCGAACAGG
rnacentral:rRNA from 1 species